rnacentral:tmRNA from 1 species
CCUCUUGGAAUGCUCUAUCGGUCGGCCUAUAUUGGUCUUGUCCGGUUUCGGCCGGACUAUAGCGAUAAACGCGCUUGUAAUAAGCGGACCGGACCCGGGUGCGAUUCCCGGCGGCUCCACCAUCGUCUUCCCCGCGUUAUCGGCGGAGGCAGUAUGGGGCCGACUAGCAUCGACGGACGUGUAAAGAGGAUUGCUUUCGCUCGUCCUGGCCCACCGUAUCGGGCCAUUUUCUAACUGCGAACGAUAACUUCGCUGGAGAAGUCGCUCUCGCCGCGUAAUGCGGUUCGGGUGAUUUCGAAUCUUAAGUCCUAGGGGUUCAGAUCCUUGGGCGGGGCCUGUCGGGAGCCUGGCAACAGAAUCCCGGCGCU